CACUAGGGAAAGCAGGCUAAGUUCGCGCCGUCCUGGCGCAACGCCUGCAUAUGACCCACAUCCUGUAGG
rfam:Bacillus galactosidilyticus strain PL133 scaffold000140, whole genome shotgun sequence.